AUGGAUCACAUUACAAAAUUUGUUGCAACAAGAUUACCCGAGUCAUAUAAUAAAGAAAAACAAAAGAAGUUAUCAAUCAUGGUGCACGAAAUGUGUUCCGAAAUAUCACACUCAGUUGGAAAGCUUGUGUACAAUAUUGGCAGGAUCGAUGAUAUUGAAGCUGGGACAAACACGAUAGAACCUAGUAAGAUGGGAACAAGCAGGCAACGUUCAAACAGAAGAAGUAAACAAUUGGGCAGUGACAGUGAAAGCUUAUUAAGUGAAGAAGGCAACAAUAGCUUACCUAGUCAAGAAGAUUCAUACAAGUCGGACAGCGAUGAUAAAGACAAAGAUGGAGAUGAAUCUGAUGAAGCAGAUGAUGAUGGAGAAAAAGCGACAGCGGCAGCGAUGGUGACUCAGAUGAUGAUGAUGGUGAUGAACUGA
rnacentral:rRNA from 1 species